rnacentral:misc_RNA from 1 species
AAAAUUGUCACAGUAAAACCUCAGGUAGCUGCCUGUUUCCAAAAGACAAAAUGACCAAUCCAUAUGCAAAUGUUCGAUAAGGAUGAGAAUUUGACAGGAAUUCAAAGGUUCAGCAACUAUCGUUCUAUGCAUCAAACUUACAGGACGUUUUAUAUAUAACUAGCAUAUCUAAGUAUCUAACAUAACACAAUGACCCGCUAAAAGAUGAGAGAAGCGAAAUAGCAAAAUAGUUAAUGAAAUUUGUUUGAAUAAGCUAGAGGAUUAAUCCCUUAGGUGAAGAUGGCUUGGUAGGUUCCUCGGUCUUGGAAGCUUUUGGGGACUCUGAAAGAGCAUGUAUAGGCACAUAACCUUCAGCCGAAUUUUUUGCCUGUUGUUCUUCUGCCAUCUUUUCCUUCGUCUUCUGGCCCACUUCCCCUGCAGCCUUGGUGACCUUAUUGAAAGCACCAGUAACCCAAGAUGCCCCUGUCAACACAUAUCUGUUCUUCAUGAUGGCAGAUCCAGCAGUGCUAACCGUCUGCUCAGCAGCUGCAAGAGCAGAUUUUGUCUUUUCAGAAACAUGGAACUUCUGGUCCAUUUCUUUCACUUUGUCAUUCACAAUCGUUGCCCCCAAAUUGAUUUUCUCACUAAGGCCAAUCUUUUGGUCUAAAGAAGCAACUUUUGCAGAGGCAGUGGAUGUGAACUGGUGUUUCUCAUCAAAUGUCUUGGCUUUGUUAACUGCAUCCUUGCCCAGGAUGAAGCCCUUUGCUAACAUGCUGCUCACAACAUCUUCUGCCUUUUGAAUAGCAGAUCCACCACCAGCUGCAUUAGCACUCUCAGUUGCCUUGAUUGGCACAAGAGCUGUAGGAGGCAGCUCGUAGUCAGGUUCAGGUACUAUUGUGACCGACUGAUCAAUAAUUGUUGCUCCAGAAAGAAGAACUGCAGUUUCUGCACCCUGGAGAUCCUUGAAUGUGACAUAUGCAAUUUGAGAUCGCUCAUUCUCACUCAUCAUCUCAACAUAUUCAAUAUCCCCGGAGAAUGAAAAGAACUCCUUGAUAUCUUGCUCCGAUGCACUCAGAGAAACAUUGCUCACUUUCACUGUUCUAGCCGACAUCGAAUCAGAAGAAGAUCAGAGAACCACAAUAGAGUUAUUUGAAGCAAAUAUAUUUGUAGAAAUUGAGCGUAUGUGAGUUACGUAGAAGAAGAGAAAAGAAGGGUUGUGGGUUUUAGGGAAAAAGUGGUGUACUUCAAAAACGUCAACGAG